CAAGAAAUAACAACUCGGGGCCUCACGGCUUACGAGAUUGCAAUGAGAACAAUUUUAAAAUCUCUUAGCGAGGAACAAUUGGAGGGCAAGUCUGGUGCCAGCAGCCGCGGUAAUUCCAGCUCCAAUAGCGUAUAUUAAAGUUGUUUGCAGUUAAAAAAGCUCGUAGUUGAAUUUCUGAUUAUGGAUGUAGCGGUUCCGUUACAUUUGUAGUCAUCCACAUGAGAACCUUUCUCGGCCUUCACUGGUCGGUUGGGGGAUCAUGUACUUUACUUUGAAAAAAUCAGAGUGUUUCAGGCAGGCGUUUGCAUGAAUACACAAGCAUGGAAUAAUGGAAUAGGACUAGGGGUCCAUUUUUAUUGGUUAUUGGACCAUAGUAAUGAUUAAUAGGGACAGUUGGGGG
rnacentral:rRNA from 1 species